rnacentral:rRNA from 1 species
GACGAACGCUGGCGGCGUGCUUAACACAUGCAAGUCGAACGGAAAGGCCCCUUUGGGGGUACUCGAGUGGCGAACGGGUGAGUAACACGUGAGUAACCUGCCCUUGACUUCGGGAUAACUUCAGGAAACUGGGGCUAAUACCGGAUAGGAAUCCUUGCUGCAUGGGGGGGGUUGGAAAGCUGCGGCGGUUUUGGAUGGACUCGCGGCUUAUCAGCUUGUUGGUGGGGUAGUGGCUUACCAAGGCGUUGACGGGUAGCCGGCCUGAGAGGGCGACCGGCCACAUUGGGACUGAGAUACGGCCCAGACUCCUACGGGAGGCAGAAGUGGGGAAUAUUGCACAAUGGGCGGAAGCCUGAUGCAGCAACGCCGCGGGCGGGAUGACGGCCUUCGGGUUGUAAACCGCUUUCAGCAGGGGCGAAGCUUGUGGUGACGGUACCUGCAGAAGAAGCACCGGCUAACUACGUG